rnacentral:rRNA from 1 species
ACCAGCAGCCAUAUCGCCCUGCAACUCACAACUGGCAACCCACUGAAGAUAAUCAGGUGUGAGCCUGGUCAGUACCUGGAUGGGAGACCUCCUGGGAAAAAUUAAGGUUGCUGCUGGAA